rnacentral:rRNA from 1 species
UGGGGAAUAUUGGACAAUGGGGGCAACCCUGAUCCAGCCAUGCCGCGUGAGUGAUGAAGGCCUUCGGGUUGUAAAGCUCUUUUGGCGGGGACGAUGAUGACGGUACCCGCAGAAUAAGCCCCGGCUAACUUCGUGCCAGCAGCCGCGGUAAGACGAAGGGGGCUAGCGUUGUUCGGAAUUACUGGGCGUAAAGCGAGUGUAGGCGGUUGCCGUAGUCAGGUGUGAAAGCCUUGAGCUCAACUCAAGAAAUGCACUUGAUACUGGGUGACUAGAGGACCGGAGAGGAUAGUGGAAUUCCCAGUGUAGUGGUGAAAUACGUAGAGAUUGGGAAGAACACCAGUGGCGAAGGCGGCUAUCUGGACGGUUACUGACGCUAAGACUCGAAAGCGUGGGGAGCAAAACAGGAUUAGAUACCCUGGUAGUCCACGCCGUAAACGAUGGGUGCUAGACGUUGGCGAGCUUGCUCGUCAGUGUCGCAGCUAACGCGUUAAGCACCCCGCCUGGGGAGUACGGCCGCAA